GAUGAACUGGAGCUUGCUCCAGGGAUUAGUGGCGAACGGGUGAGUAACACGUGAGUAACCUGCCCUUGACUCUGGGAUAAGCGCUAGAAAUGGCGUCUAAUACCGGAUACGAGCUUCAGCCGCAUGGCUAGGAGUUGGAAAGAAUUUUGGUCAAGGAUGGACUCGCGGCCUAUCAGCUAGUUGGUGAGGUAAUGGCUCACCAAGGCGACGACGGGUAGCCGGCCUGAGAGGGUGACCGGCCACACUGGGACUGAGACACGGCCCAGACUCCUACGGGAGGCAGCAGUGGGGAAUAUUGCACAAUGGGCGAAAGCCUGAUGCAGCAACGCCGCGUGAGGGAUGACGGCCUUCGGGUUGUAAACCUCUUUUAGUAGGGAAGAAGCGAAAGUGACGGUACCUGCAGAAAAAGCACCGGCUAACUACGUGCCAGCAGCCGCGGUAAUACGUAGGGUGCAAGCGUUGUCCGGAAUUAUUGGGCGUAAAGAGCUCGUAGGCGGUUUGUCGCGUCUGCUGUGAAAUCUGGGGGCUCAACCCCCAGCCUGCAGUGGGUACGGGCAGACUAGAGUGCGGUAGGGGAGAUUGGAAUUCCUGGUGUAGCGGUGGAAUGCGCAGAUAUCAGGAGGAACACCGAUGGCGAAGGCAGAUCUCUGGGCCGUAACUGACGCUGAGGAGCGAAAGCAUGGGGAGCGAACAGGAUUAGAUACCCUGGUAGUCCAUGCCGUAAACGUUGGGAACUAGAUGUGGGGGCC
rnacentral:rRNA from 1 species